CUGAUAUGAGAGUGCAAUCCAGGCAGACACCUUGAGGUCUUUAGCAGAAGACUGAGCUAACCUGUACCCAGAUUCAUGACCAAACAGAAACUACACGCCAGGUGAUAAAAGGAUGGAAUGCUUUGACACUCCUCCCCAUUUGCCAUAGUCCUCCUGAUUUGAUUCUGGUUUUGCUCCUUCGGACUUAAAUGAAUUUUCUGAAGGUACAUCUGCAAGCUUCUGUAACAGACAACCAGGAAAUGUAAAGGAAUAGCAGCCUCUCUGUACAAACCAAUAUUGUAACUGGAAUAGCAAUCCGUCUUCCAGGGAACAAAGGCACUGCCACAAGGAGUCCAAGUGUUUGCUCUUUGCCAACAUUCCCCCAAAUCUACAGACAUUUUUAGAAAGAAUGCCUACACCUCCUAUUCAGAAAGUAAAAACGAGAUCGGCUAAGCUUUGAAAGGUGAGGAACUCAAGGCCUGGAGAGUUUAAAUACUUUGCAGAAACUCCCACAGCUUGCAGGCUACCAAGG